rnacentral:rRNA from 1 species
AUUAAACGCUGGCGGCAUGCCUUACACAUGCAAGUCGAACGGCAGCACUGGGGCAACCCUGGUGGCGAGUGGCGAACGGGUGAGUAAAGCAUCGGAACGUGCCCUGGAGUGGGGGAUAACGUAGCGAAAGUUACGCUAAUACCGCAUAUUCUGUGAGCAGGAAAGCAGGGGAUCGCAAGACCUUGCGCUCUGGGAGCGGCCGAUGUCGGAUUAGCUAGUUGGUGGGGUAAAGGCCUACCAAGGCGACGAUCCGUAGCGGGUCUGAGAGGAUGAUCCGCACACUGGGACUGAGACACGGCCCAGACUCCUACGGGAGGCAGCAGUGGGGAAUUUUGGACAAUGGGCGAAAGCCUGAUCCAGCCAUGCCGCGUGAGUGAAGAAGGCCUUCGGGUUGGUUAAACGACGUACUUUUUCGGG